rnacentral:lncRNA from 1 species
CUCACUACCCUUUGCUUUCCCAUUCCUUCUCCUCACCUCAACCAAAAACCCUAGCGACUCCAAAGCUGUUCAUCCUCACCGUCAACUCCAAUGCCGUCGCCACUCAUCUCACCGUCGCCGUCCUCAAACCAGCUAAUUUGCUCGGGUCGUCCCGUUGGACCCGCCUCCUCCGUCCACGUCCCCGGUCGCCGUCACCCAUCUCUGUCGCCCAUAUUCAUCCGCAUCCCCUUCCGCUCUCGAUUCCGCAACUCCAGUCGCCAUCGCCCCUUUCUGCUCUUGAUUCCUCAUGAGGUUCGAUCAAUCAUUCCAUUUUCGCCUCUUUCUUGGUUGUCAUGUGCUUGUGCUCUGCAAACGAACGGUUGGUAUUUGCACUGCGAGUCUGGGAUGCUUUGUUUCUCGGUGGGGUGGGGAAUGUGAGAGCGAUUGCGAAUGGUUGGUGUUUGUGCCACGAGUUCUUAGGUAGAUUUCACUUGAGCGAGAACGAGAAGCGAGAAGCCCAAGUUCUUGGGGCAACUUUCAGCUGCGACGGGUUUUCGCUGCUGAGGCCACCAGGGUAAGAAGCCCGCAUUUUGAAUGAGAAACAUGGGAUGGAUUGGAGGGGUUUGCAUUUCCAUUUGUUAUGAGGAAAGUGAAGAAUGGCUAUUUGGACUGCAUUUUUUUGCUCUGCAUAUUGCAAGUAUGGCUUGUGGAACUUCUCAUGGGCAUUCAUGUACUGUUACUAGUGCAGGGCACUUGGGAUUUUAUGAACGGCAUAAUAAAUGGUGAUUGACUAGGUUUUCUUAUUGGAACUAUUCUCAAUAGCAUAGAAAACUUUCUCCAUGUUCCGGUUGUGGAUUUUUGUGUGUAUGUUGUGCGGGCAAGGCAGGUGUUGGUUGAUUUUCACGUGGACUAUGAGAUAUUUAAGGACACCUCAGUGACCUUUGUUAUGUUUAUUUCGUUGUCUAUGCUUGUGUUAUUGCAGAUAUGGGAUGGAUUGAAGGGGUUUGCAUUUCCAUUUGUUUGUUCCUCUUGAAUCCCCGAUUGACAUUGCUUAGUAGAAGUCUUAUGUAUUGUAUCAAUUUCUUGCUGGUGCAAACUCUAAAGCCAGGAGUGACUUGCUUUUGGAUUCCAUUUGCAUCUCUCCCGUGUUCAAAACACUAAGAAAUGUUUCUCAUCUCAUCCUUAAUGCUACCGGACCAAGACUACUGGAAUAAUAAUAUGCCGGAAAUUCCAUGAAAUUGUAUCUUCAGCUUUUGUAAUGAAUUAGUAUUAUUUCGAC